CCUACGGGUGGCAGCAGUGAGGAAUAUUGGUCAAUGGACGAGAGUCUGAACCAGCCAAGUAGCGUGAAGGAUGACUGCCCUAUGGUUUGUAAACUUCUUUUAUAUGGGAAUAAAACGUUCCACGUGUGGGCUUUUGUAUGUACCAUAUGAAUAAGGAUCGGCUAACUCCGUUCCAGCAGCCGCGGUAAUACGGAGGAUCCGAGCGUUAUCCGGAUUUAUUGGGUUUAAAGGGAGCGCAGGCGGGUUGUUAAGUCAGUUGUGAAAGUCUGGGGCUCAACCUGAAAAUUGCAGUUGAAACUGGCAGUCUUGAGUAUCGUAGAGGUGGGUAGAAUUCGAGGUGUAGCGGUGAAAUGCUUAGAGAUCUCGAAGAAUUCCGAUUGCGAAGGCAGUCCACUGGACGACAACUGACACUCAGGUGCGAAAGUGUGGGGAUCAAACAGGAUUAGAUACCCUAGUAGUC
rnacentral:rRNA from 1 species